AUAAAAUACAAACCCCAGUAUUUUUGGCUGCCCGCGAAUCACCCACUUGUAGGUAGUCUCUCUAAGCUGGCAGAUAGAUGUUACAAUGAACCACUUAAGUUCCGUUGUGAAGGUUUUUGUCCAUUUGGGCUGUAUUUCAUGACACUACUGUAGUUCAAACACAC
rnacentral:snoRNA from 1 species